rnacentral:rRNA from 1 species
GACGAACGCUGGCGGCGUGCUUAACACAUGCAAGUCGAACGGAAAGGCCCUGCUUUUGUGGGGUGCUCGAGUGGCGAACGGGUGAGUAACACGUGAGUAACCUGCCCCUGACUUUGGGAUAACUUCAGGAAACUGGGGCUAAUACCGGAUAGGAGCUCCUGCUGCAUGGUGGGGGUUGGAAAGUUUCGGCGGUUGGGGAUGGACUCGCGGCUUAUCAGCUUGUUGGUGGGGUAGUGGCUUACCAAGGCUUUGACGGGUAGCCGGCCUGAGAGGGUGACCGGCCACAUUGGGACUGAGGUACGGCCCAGACUCCUACGGGAGGCAGCAGUGGGGAAUAUUGCGCAAUGGGCGGAAGCCUGAUGCAGCAACGCCGCGUGCGGGAUGACGGCCUUCGGGUUGUAAACCGCUUUCGCCUGUGACGAAGCGUGAGUGACGGUAAUGGGUAAAGAAGCACCGGCUAACUACGUG